rnacentral:rRNA from 1 species
AGUGAACGCUGGCGGUAGGCCUAACACAUGCAAGUCGAACGGCAGCACAGUAAGAGCUUGCUCUUACGGGUGGCGAGUGGCGGACGGGUGAGGAAUACAUCGGAAUCUACUUUAUCGUGGGGGAUAACGUAGGGAAACUUACGCUAAUACCGCAUACGACCUACGGGUGAAAGCAGGGGAUCUUCGGACCUUGCGCGAUUGAAUGAGCCGAUGUCGGAUUAACUAGUUGGCGGGGUAAAGGCCCACCAAGGCGACGAUCCGUAGCUGGUCUGAGAGGAUGAUCAGCCACACUGGAACUGAGACACGGUCCAGACUCCUACGGGAGGCAGCAGUGGGGAAUAUUGGACAAUGGGCGCAAGCCUGAUCCAGCCAUACCGCGUGGGUGAAGAAGGCCUUCGGGUUGUAAAGCCCUUUUGUUGGGAAAGAAAAGCAGCAGGUUAAUACCCCGCUGUUCUGACGGUACCCAAAGAAUAAGCACCGGCUAACUUCGUG